rnacentral:rRNA from 1 species
UACGAAGGGGGCUAGCGUUGCUCGGAAUCACUGGGCGUAAAGGGGUGCGUAGGCGGGUCUUUAAGUCAGGGGUGAAAUCCUGGAGCUCAACUCCAGAACUGCCUUUGAUACUGAGGAUCUUGAGUUCGGGAGAGGUGAGUGGAACUGCGAGUGUAGAGGUGAAAUUCGUAGAUAUUCGCAAGAACACCAGUGGCGAAGGCGGCUCACUGGCCCGAUACUGACGCUGAGGCACGAAAGCGUGGGGAGCAAACAGG